AGUGGAAGCUGGGGUGUCGGCGGGCGGCCGCGGCCGGGUCUAGCGGUGCCUGCGGAAGAAGGAGGAGGAGGGCUGGCGAUGAGAAGCAGCAGGGGGAAUCAAGGGCAAGAAGGGACCCAGAGGGGCAGGUGGCUGAGAUGCUGGCGUCCAGGUGACCCGAGGAAUCCUCUGGAGAUACAGGCCCGCGCAUGCGCGUGCUCGAGCGCUGAAGCCCAUUGCCCGCAGGGCGCUGGACUGGCGCCCCGGCCGGCGAGGCUGUCUAGUCCAGGCUCCAGGCCCCGGCUCUGGCCAGGCGCCGCCGCCUCCCGGUGCAGCUGAAAGUCGACGAAGAGGGCGGGGCGGGGGCGGCUUGUGGACUUCCACACUUUUCCUCUCUUCGGGCCAGUCUGGGGAGAGGGUGGCUAGCUGUGGCGGCGGCCAAUUACGUGGCGGACCUGCGGGGCUAAGCUGGCACGUCACUUCCGACUAGUGGAGUUUUUAGCCUUUUAACAUUCAAGGAUUAGAGCUCCCUCUUUGCCCACUAGCAGGGCAUUAGCUGGUGCUGAAGACAGUGGCUGCUUGGCGAGCCUGGAUCUCCAAGUGACCCCCUCAGCAACUCCUGAUGAACAGGACUGAAGCCAAUAUUAAAGCAAGUCAACCAAAGGUUCUCUGGUGUAGACAAGACAGCAAAAGGACAGACUACCUUGUGGAACCUAGCAUUGUUCUCCUUCUGCAGCACUAAGUAACAUUUGUUCUCCGUUAAGAUCUUUGCAAACCACACACAAGAAUUGCUGGUCAUCCUGCCAAUAGAUGCUGCUCACAGAACCAAAUUUCCUGUGCUGAAUUGUCACUCAUGGGCUUGAGAGUAGGAGACUGGAGACCAAGGUGGCUAGAAUCCAGUUGGGCCUGAUGUCUCCCUGUUGAAAGGGCUCCUUGUGGAAUGAAUAGCACAUGGCUCCUGUGGUGGAUCUGAUAGUGGCAUAGCACCAAGUGAUGCAGGCCUGCCAGGGGCCACAGACACAGAAGAUGCUCCCGGGGUCCCCCAUGUACUCCAGACACACUGCAGGCCACCUCUCCCAGCAGGUUGCCAGUCAUGGGCCCCAUCAUCAUGACUUCUGUCCAAGGUACUGUGUGCAGAAAUGUGAUUGAGAUUCAAGUCAGGGCCUCUCUGCCCUUUUCCCUCCAGAAACAAAACCAAGAUAAUUUAUCCUGAACACGGUGAAAAAAGGAAGGGAGGGAGGAGAAAAAGUCCGGGUCUCACCUGGGAUUCUCUGUCUCCUGCAACAUGAAGGAUUUAGCCUGGGAGGAGGUGGUGAGAACUCUGGGAGAGAAAAAAGAAGGAAAGAAUAGUUUUACCCAUGCUGAAGUUAAUUUAAACCUUCACCUAGAGAAGCAAAAAAAAAAAACCCACACUUUCCCAUUUUGUGCCUCCCUUCCUAGAGUUUUAGCCAAAGGUUUAGCUAAGUAAUUGGUUUUACCAGCGCACUCACUCCUCCUAUCCCAAGUCUGUUUGACUCCCUCCCCAUCAUCCUCCUCACCUCUUUUCAGGCAGGGUGGGGAUAGCAGCAGGAGGAGAUUUUGGGAGCCUGGCAACUCCUGCAAGGACCGCAGGACAGCCCCUCUGUGGGGAUGCGUGGUGCCCCAUCUGCCGCCCUUCUGAAGAAUGCACUGCCUUCACUUUUUACUGUGUUAGAGUCCAUCCAGACUGUUCUAUCCAAAAAAGUUUCUUUUUCCCCCACAGGCAAUCAGGAAAUGAUUCCUUUCCCGACUGCUUCUGUCUAGUGCCUGGGAAUCUUGAGUCAAUCCCUCAGUAAGUCAGUGACUAGGGAAAUCCCUCUCUGAGCCUCCCAGUUCAUGUUGCUUAGGGAACCUGAUAUUUUCGUGAAACCUGCCUACACAUGGGCAGCCCAACAGCAGAACAAAUGGUGGUGACCAAAGUGAACAAAGAAGUAUAGUUGUGCCAGCUUCGUAGUUGCCCAUGUGGACAAGUCAGCAGGAUCAGGACACGAGGAAGAGUAAAUGUGAGACAGUCAAUGUGACUUCUGCGAUAAACAGAUUUUUAAACCCCGAAAUUUUGCAAAAUUUUGGUGAAACCUGAACUUUCUUCGUUGCAUAUACUGGCACUAUCUGUACCAUCAUACAACUGUCUCACAUUAAAGCUAUUUUUCUUGGGCACUGAUGAGUAAGGUUGGUAUAAGUUCCUCAGAUCAACAAAAACCCAUUUUCCUGUAAGUCUUACAUUUAGUAUUUAAGGAACUAAAACUUAAAUACAUUUUGUGAAAUGGUUGACACUUCACUGAUAAUGAUUUAUUGCUUGGAUUAAUAAAUUUUCCAAAAGUUGUCUUAUGUAGAAUAUGGUUUGCAACCAGCAGAACCAUUAAUCUAUACUGCAAUGAUAUGCACUAUGUAUAAUUGUUUAAAAGCCUCUACUUAAUGAUGUAAAAUGCUCUAUUUAAUUACACAUUUGGGUAAACUGUAUACUAACAUCUGAUGGCAUUUUUCCACUGUUUGUUGCUUUUUUCAAAUACUUUAUUGUACAAAGCUGUUCUUAAUAUUUUUCAAGUUUUUUUCUUUGAAUUUUGCUAAUGUUUUCCUUGAAUUAUGAGCACUGACAGAAUGUGCUUAGCACUUUUGGCUAUUCACACAGCUUUUGAGCAUGAUUUGCAUCCAAUAUUUACAUUGCUAGCAAUAAUAAGCCAUCUGUGAGUUUUGUCAAAAGUUAUUGGGGAUUUUUUAAAUUUUAGAAAUGCAAAUUAUUGUUUCUUUGAACUAACUCUUAUGCAGUUGCAAAGGCAUUUCCAGUUGUUAUAGUUUGUGUACAAUAUCAGGUGUUCCAGAUUAUGAUUCAUUAUUAAUAUCAUUGCUUCCUUGUUCCCUCUGAGGUCCAGAAGAUUCAUGUUUACAAUAUUUAGAAACAAUGUUAAAAAGGUAUCCAAAGUUUGUCACUUUAUUAUUAGUUUGUUCUUAAUAUUCUGUUUAAGUUUUUGAAUUCAUAGAUAUCAAAACGCUGCACAAUUAUGAUUUCCACAGGAAUAACAACACACUAACAAUAAGAACCAAAAACAGCAAAUAGGCUGCCUACAAGUUUUGACAAUAUUAGGAUAAUGAUAAUGACAGUUUUUCUAAAUCUCACAGUAAAGAAUGCAGCAACCCAGCAACACUGCUACCUGUGGCCUCAGGCUGCAGUGUCAGCUCUUCCCUGGGUCUCCAGCCUGCCAGUCUAACCUGAAAAUUAUGUACUUGCCAGCCCCCACAGUCACGUGAGUGAACUGGCCCAGGCUGGUCACCAGGGUCAGUUUCUCUGUGUGUCAUUAAUUCAUUCAGUCUUCAGCAGUCUCUUUGGAGCUGAGAUGUACCUACCAUCUGCCUUUUGGGUGCUUAGGGUGGAGAACCAGAAAAGUAUAACCUAGUGUGUAUCCUCAAAGAGCUAACAAUAUGGGGUGGUACCUAUAGGUCUGGAAACACUUUACUGACUCUGUGAGGCAUACCAGGAGACGUCAGAGAACAGUCCCUCCUCAAAUGCCAAAUGAGAUGCAGAAGAAAUAGUUUGCUCAAGUUCAUGGGCCAGAUAUCCCAGUGGUCAGGGAGUUUCAUGAAUGAGAUGGAACUUUGCAUGGAACCCGAGGGAUGUGUAUGAUUUGAGUAGAUGAAGAAAAUGAGACUUUCCAAGCAGCUAGAAGUUAGGGAGCAGCAAGAUGUGUGGUGGGAUUGAGCACAGUUGGUUCAGAGGAUAGACUGCAGUUUUAAUAAUUUGUAGUAAAUAUCUCCCAACUGUUUGGCACUAUUGGAGCAAGUUCUUGAAUGCCAAAUGAAGGCAUAAAUCAGUAAGAGGCAUAAUAAAAGGCUGAGCAGUGCUUGGCUUUUUACGAACUGAUCCUGAUAGGAGCAGCUGUUCAACAAAGUUGCCAGGUCACCGUUACAUAGUCCCUGCCUUCUAGGGGCUCACUGCCUACUGGGAGAGACAGUCUGAAAGUUGGUGGAGCAUGUAACUGUUGGAUGAGGAGUUUGAGCCUGUGGACUGUGGGACCCCCGAGGAGGGUGUGGCUACUCUAGGCAGAACAAUCCCACAGUUUAUUUAUAUUUAACCUUGAAAUUCAUUAGAGGAUUUUUCAGCAGAGGUUUGGUACUUGUUAAUGUUAAGGUUUGCAUUCUCUAGAACCUCAAGGAAAGCUGUACCGUGCAUAAUGUACCCUCUUAUGUUAAUGUUGUGUACUGUGAUCCUGUUUCAGGGACUUGCACUUAGGAAUCUGUUACAGUGAGCACAGAAGCAGACCUGUGGGCUCAUAGUCUUCACCCCCCACCCAUAUAUACAAGAUGAACAGAGUGGAGGUUAAACAACUUGACUAAACAACACAGUUCAUGGUAAAGCCCAAGACUGUACCUGCCCAUCCACUGCCUUUUCCAUGUAUCCUGGAACUGAGCAUAGACCUCUUCCCAGGCAGAGCUGACAGCAAGUAAAGGAGAUCAUAAUCAGGGGACCAAACAACUUUGUCUAAAGUGUGAAUGUCACCUAAGGAGAAGCUGUGAGAUCAGAAGGGUGGGGCAGAGGAGCAGACACCAUGAGGGAGAGUCCUUGGGGGUACAUCUGCCAGACUGACACUGUCUGGCCUGGGCAGUGGAGGGGCUAGCAGGAACCACAGGUACUGGUGGUGUGGCUACUACCGUUACAACUGCCUGUGCUUGGACAUGGACCCUCUGCAAUAUGCGGCAGUUUCAUUCAUUGCCCCCUACAUUCUACACCAAGUAGAAAUGGAAGGCAAUUGGAUACUUCACAGACAAGAUCUAAGUGGAGAAGGAAUGCGUCCUGUGGCUGCAGAGAUCCUUGGAGCUUGGAGGGGAGAGCUUGAGCCCCACUGAUGAUGACCUCCCACAGCUCGCCAACUCAGCCCUCCCUAAGUCCCCAUCGGGGGCCAAUUCUCACUCUGGGGUUGGGGGGACUCCACCAUAGCUCAUCCAUCAUAGGGAUGUUGGUAUCUACUGUGGGUUGGGUAGGGCCGAUGUGCUGAGGAUGGCUCCCCCACAAGCAAGAGAUGUGGAUUUGGGGAGCUUCCCAUCUUGUGUUGAAGGAACAUAACUCAGAAUAAUAAGAGCCAACUAUAACAAACCCACAGCCAACAUCAUACUGAAUGGGCAAAAGCUGCAGGCAUUCCCCUUGAAAAGUGGCACAGGAUAAGGAAGCCCUUUCUCACCACUCCUAUUCAAUAUAGUGUUGAAAGUCCUGAUCACAGCAGUCAGGCAACAGAAAUAAUAAAGGGCAUCCAAAUAGGAAGAGAGGAAGUCAAACUAUCCUUGUUUGCAGACAGUAUGAUUCUAUAUCUAGAAAACCCCAUAGCCUCAGCCCAAAAGGUCCUUCAUCUGAUAAUUUCAGCAAAGUUUCAGGAGACAAAAUCAGUGUACAAAAAUCACUAACAUUCCUAUACACAGUCGCCAAGCCAAGAGCCAAAUCAGGAGCACAAUCCCAUUCAUAAUUGCCACAAAAAAGAAUAAAAUACCCAGGAAUGCAGCUAACCAAGGAAGUAAAGGAUCUCUACAAUGAGAAUCACAAACGCUGCUCAAAGAAAUCAGAGAUGACACAAACAAAUGGAAAAACUUUCCAUGCUCAUGGCUAGGAAGAAUCAAUAUCAUUAAAGUGGCCAUACUACCCAAAGCAAUUUAUAGAUUCAAUGCUAUUCCUAUCAAACUAUCAAUUACAUUUUUCACAGAACUAGAAAAAACUUAAAAUUCAUAUGGAACCAAAAAGCCUGAGUAGUCAAGGCAAUCCUAAACAAAAAGAACAAAGGUGGAGGCAUCACAUUACCUAACUUCAAACUACAGGGCUACCAUGACCAAAACAGCAUGGUACUGGUACAAAAGCAGACACACAGACCAGUGGGACAGAAUAGAGAGCCCAAAAAUAAGGCCACAAACCUACAGCCAUCUGAUCUUCAACAAAGUUGACAAAAACAAGCAAUGGGGAAAGGUCUCCCUAUUCAAUAAAUGGUGCUGGGAUAACUGGCUGGCCAUAUGCAGAAGAUCGUAACUGGACCCCUUUUACUAUGUACAAAAAUUAAGAUGGUUUAAAGAGUUAAAACCCAAAAUUAUAAAAAUCCUGAAGAUAACUUAGGCAAUACCAUUCUGGACAUAGGAACUGGCAAAUAUUUCAUGAUGAAGACACCAAAAGCAAUUGUAACAAAAGCAAAAAUGGACAAAUUGGAUUUAAGAGCUUUUUCAUAGCAAAAUAAACAACAGGGCAGACAAUCUACCAAAUGACAGAAAAUUUUUGCAAACUAUGCAUCUGACAAGGGGCUAAUAUCUAGCAUCUAUAAGGAAUUUAAACACAGUUACAGGAAAAAAAAAACCCACUCCAUUAAAAAAUGGGCAAAGGACAUGAACAGACACUUUUCAAAAAAGACAUACAUACAGCCAACUAGCGUGUUAAAGAAAACCUCAAUUAUCACUGAUCAUUAGAGAAAUGCAAAAUCAAAACCAUGAUGAGAUAUCAUCUGCCAGUCAGGAUGGCUACAAAAAAGUAAAAAAAUAAUAGAUGUUGGUGAGGUUAUGGAGAAAAGGAACUUAUACACUUGUUAGGAGUGUAAAUUAGUUCAAUCACUGUGGACAGCAGUGUGGUGAUUCCUCAGAGAGCUAAAAACAACUACCAUUUGACUCACCAAUCCCAUUACUGGAUAUUUACCUAAAGGAAUAUAAAUCAUUCCACCAUAAAGACACAUGCAAGUGUAUGUUCAUUGCAGCACUAUUAACAGUAACAAAGCUGGGCACAGUGGCUCACCUCACGACUGUAAUCCCAGCACUUUGGGAGGCUGAGGUAGGCGGAUCACCUGAGGUCGGCAGUUUGAGACCAGCCUGACCAACAUGGAGAGACCCCAUCUCUACUAAAAAUACAAAAUUAGCCAGGUGUGGUGGCUCAUGCCUGUAAUCCCAGCUACUUGGGAGGCCAAGGCAGGAGAAUUGCUUGAACCCAGGAGGCAGAGGUUGCAGUGAGCCGAGAUCACACCAUUGCACUCUAGCCUGGUGAAGGAGCAAGACUCCAUCUCAAAAAAAAAAAAAAAAAAGAAAGAAAGAAAAAUACACAUUCAGAGGAGACAAAAAAUAAAAAACAAUGAUGCAUGCCCACAGGAUCUAGAAAAUAACUUCUUAAGGGCAAAUCUAGGAGUUAUUGGCCUUAAAGAAGAGAUAGAGAAAGAGAUAGGAAUAGAAAGUUUGUUGAAAGGGAUAAUAACAUAGAACUUCCUAAACCUACAGAAAGAUAUUUAUAUCCAAGUACAAGAAGGUUAUAGAACACCAGGCCAAUUUAACCCAAAGAUUACCUCAAGGCAUUUAAUAAUCAAACUCCCACAGGACAAGGGUAAAGAAAGGAUCCUAAAAGCAGCAAGAGAAAAGAAACAGAUAACAUACAAUGGAGCUCCAAUACAUCUGGCAGUAUAUUUUUCAGUGGAAACCUUACAAGCCAGGAGAGAGUGACAUGACAUAUGUUAAAGUGCUGAAGGGAAAAAACCUUUUACCCUAGAAUAGUAUAUCCAGCAAAAAUAUCCUUCAAACAUGAAGAAUAAACAAAGACUUCCCCAGACAAACAAAAGCUGAGGGAUUUCAUCAACACUAGACUGGUCCCAUAAGAAACGCUUAAGGGAGUACUUUGGUCAGAAAGAAACAGACAUUAAUGAGCAACAAAGAAUCAUCUAAAGGUAAAAAACUCACUGUUAAGAGUAAGUACACAGAAAAACCCAAAGUGUGAUAACAUUGUAACUGUGGUGUGUAAGUAGAAAGAAUAAAUGAUAAACCAAUCAAAAAUAGUAACUACAACUUUUCAAGACCAGUCAGAAAAAUAAGAUAAAAUUAGAAACAACAAAAAGUUAAAAAGUGGGGGGAUGAAGUUAAGAUGUAGAGUUUUUAUUAGUUUUUUGUUUGUUAAUGCAAACAGUGUUACCAGGUUAAAAUAAUGGGUUACAAAAUAGUAUUUGUAAUCCUUAUGGUAACCUCAAACCUAAAAACAUACACUGGAUACAUAAAAAAUAAAAAGCAAAAACCUAAAUCAUAUCACCAGAGCAAACUACCUUCCCUAAAGGAAGACAGGAAGAAAAGAAAGAAGAAGACCACAAAACAACCAGAAAACAAAUAAAUAACAAGGCAGGAGUAAGUCUUUACUUAUCGAUAAUACAUUGAAUGGAAAUAUGGACUAAACUCUCCAAUCAAAAGACAUAGACUGGCUGAAUGAAUGGAGAAAACAAGACCCAUUGAUCUGUUGCCUACAAGAAACACACUUAAACUAUAAAGACACACAUAGGCUGAAAGUAAAGAGUUGGAAAGAGUUAUUCCAUGCCAAUGGAAACCAGGAAAAAGAGAAGGAGUAUUGAUUUUGAUACAAAAACUAUGAGACAAAUAAAGUCACUAUACAAUGAUAAAGGGGUUAAUAUGGUUUCCAUUUGUGCCCCACCCAAAUUUCGUGUUCUAUUGUAAUCCUCAAUGUUGGAGGUGGGGCCUGGUGGGACGUGAUUAGAUCAUGGGGGUGGAUCUUUCAUGACUAAUUCAGCACCAUCUUCUUAGUGCUGUUCUCAUGAUAGUGAGUUCUUCUGAAAUCUGGUUGCUUAAAAGUGUGUAGCACCUCUCCACACCACCCGCUUGCCUUGGUCUACUCCUGCUAUGUAGAUGCUUGCUCCCACUUUGCAUUAUUCCAUGAGUAAAAGCUCCCUCAGGCCUUCCCAGAAUCAGAUGCCGCUAUGCUUCCUGAACAGCCUGUGGAACUAUGAGCCAAUUCAACCUCUUUUCUUCAUAAAUUAACAAGUCUUGGGUAUUUCUUUAUAGCAGUGUGAGAACAGAAUAAUACAGAAAAUUGGUAAAGAGGAGUGAGGCAUUGCUAGAAAGAUACCUGAAAAUGUGGAAACAGCAGUGGAACUGGGAAAUAGACAGAGGUUGGAAGAGUGUGGAGGGCUCCGAAGAUAGGAAGAUGAGGGGAAGUUUGGAAUUUCUUAGAGAUUUGUUAAAUUGUUUUGACCAAAAUACUGAUGGUGAUAUGGACAAUGAAGUCCAGGCUGAGGAGGUCUCAGAUGGAGAUGAGGGACUUAUUGGGACCUGGAGUGAAGGUCACUUUUGUUAGGACAUUGUGGUUGGAGACAUUGUGCCCCUGCCCUAGGAAUCUGUGGAACUUUGAACUUGAGAGCGAAGAUUUAGGGUAUCUGGCAGAAGAAAUUUCUAAGCAGCAAAGCGUUCAAGACGUGGCCUGGCUGCUUCUGGUAGUCUGUGCUCAUAUUUGUGAGCAAAGACAUGACAAGAAACUGGAACUUAUAUUUAAAAAGGAAGCAGAGUGUAAAAGUUUGGAGAAUUUGCAGCCUGGCCAUGUUGUAGAAAAGAAAAAAACCAUUUUCUGGAGAGGAAUUCAAGCUAGCUGCAGAAAAUUGCAAGUAACAAGGAGCAAAAUGUUGAUAGCCAAGAUAGUGGGAAAAACACCUUGAAGGCAUUUCAGAUACCUUGGGGGCAGCCUCUCCCAUCACAGGCCCAAAGGCCUAGGAGGGAAGGAUGGUUUCCUGGGCCAGGCUCAGGGUCCUGCUGCCCUGCACAACCUCAGGAAACUGCUCUCCAAAUCCCAGCUGCUCCAGCUCCAGCUUCAGCUCAAAGGGCCCCAGGUAUAGCUCAGGCUGCUGCUCCAUAGGAUGCAAGUUAUAAGCCUUAGUGGCUCCCGUGUGGUGUUAAAUUAAGCCUGUAGGUGCACAGAGUGCAAGAAUUGAGGCUUGGGAGCCUCCAACUAGAUUUCAGAGUAUGUGUGGGAAAGCCUGGAUGUCCAGGCAGAAGCCAGCUGCAGGGACAGAGCCCUCAUGGAGAACCUCUACUAGGGUAGUGUGGAGGGGAAAUUUGGGGUUGGAGUUCCCACACAGCUUCCCCUCUGGUGUACUGCCUAGUGGAGCUGUGAGAAGACAGCCACUGUCCUCCAGAUUCCAGGAUGAUAGAUCUGCCAAUGACAGCUUGCACUGUACAACUGGAAAAGCCACAGGCAGUCAAUGCCAGCCCGUGAAAGCAGUGACAGUGGCUUACCCUGCAAAGUCCCAGGGGCUGAGCUGCCCAAGGCCUUGGGAGCCCACCCCUUGCACCAGUGUGCCCUGGAUGUGAGAUAUGGAGUCAAAGGAGAGUAUUUUGGAGCUUUAAGAUUUAAUGACUACCUGCUGGGUUUCAGACUUGCAUGGGUCCAGUAGCCCCUUUCUUUUGGCCAAUUUCUCACUUUUGGAAUGGGAGUGUUUACCCAAUUCCUGUACCCCCACUGUAUGUUGGAAGUAACUAACUGUUUUUUUAUUUUGUAAGCUCACAGGUGGGAGAGACUUGCCUUGUCUCAGGUUGAGACUCUGGACUUUGGACUUUUGAAUUAAUGCUGGAAUGAGUUAAGACUUUGAGGGACUGUUGGGAAGAUAUAACUGUAUUUUGCAGUAUGAGAAGGACAUGAGAUUUGGGAGACACCAGAGGUGGAAUAAUAUGAUUUGGAUCUGCAUCCCCACCAAAAUCUCAUGUUCAAUUGUAAUCCUAAAUUUUGGAGGUUGAGCCUGGUGGAAGAGGAUUGGAUAAUGGGGGUGGUUUCUCAUGGUUUAACACCAUCCCCCUGGGUGCUGUUCUCAUGACAGUGAGUGAGUUAUUGUGAGAUCUGAUUGUUUAAAAGUGUGUGCCACCUCCUCCCACUUUCCUCCUGCUCCAGCCAUGUAAGACAGGCUUGCCUCCCCUUCACCUUUUGUCAUGAUUGUAAGUGUUCUGAGGCCUCCCCAGCCAUGCUUCCUGUACAGCCUGCAGAACUGUGAGCCAAUUAAACCUCUUUUCUCUAUAUAUUACCCAGUCUCGGGUAUUUCUUUAUAGCAGUGCAAGAAUAGACUAAUACAGGGUUCAAUUCAGCAAGAGGAUAUAACAAAUAUAAAUAUAUAUGCACUCAACACUGCAGCACCCAGAUAUAUAAAGCAAAUACGAUUAGAGCUAAAGAGAGAGAGUGACCCCAAUACAAUAAUAGCUGGAGACUUCAACACCACAUUUUCAGCACUGGACAGAUCUUCCAGACAGAAAAUAAAAAAGAAACAUCAGACUUAAUCUGCACUGUAGAUCAAAUGGAUCUAAUACAUACUUGCAGAACAUUUUAUCCAAUGGCUGCAGAAUACACAUUCUUUUUUAGCACAUGUAUCAUUCUCAAGGAUAGACCAUAUGUUAGGUCACAAGUCUUAAAACAUUAAAAAAGUUGAAUACCAUCAAGCAUCUUCUCUGACCACAGUGGAAUACAACUAGAAACUAAUAACAAGAGGAAUUUUUGAAACUACAAAUACAUGAAAAUUAAACAAUAUGCUCCUGAAUGACCAUUGAGUCAAUGAAGAAAUUAAGAAGGAAAUUGAACAAUUUCUUGAAACAAAUGAUAAAGGAAACACAACAUACCAAAACCUAUGGGAUACGGCAAAAGCAGUACUAAGAGGCAAAUUGAUAGCUAUAAGUGCCUACAUGAAAAAAGAGGAAAAACUUCAAAUAAGCAAUUUAACAAUGAACCUUAACCAGAAAAGCAAGAGCAAAACAAACACAAAAUUAGAAGAAAACAAAUAAUAAAAAUUAGAGCAUAAAUAAAUAAAAUUGAAAUAAAAAUCAAUGCAAAAGAACAAUGAAACAAAAAGUUGCUUUUUUUCAAAAGUUAAACAAAACUGACAAGCCUUUAGCAAGACUGAGAAAAAAGAGACAAGAUACAAAUCAGAAAUGAAAAAGACAUUACAACUGACACUGCAGAAAUUCAAAGGAUCAUUAGGGGCUACUAUGAGCAACUCUAUGCCAAUAAAUUGGAAAAUCUAGAAGAAAUUGACAAUUCCUAGACACAUACAACCUACUGAGACUGGACCAGGAAGAAAUCCAAAACCUGAACAGACUAAUAACAAGUAACAAGGUUGAAGCCAUAAUAAAAAGUCUCCCACUAAAGAAAACCAAGGACCCGAUGGCUUCACUGUUGAAUUCUACCAAACAUUUAAAGAAGAACUAAUACCAAUCCCACUCAAGCUAUUGAAAAAUAGAGGAGGAGAGAAUAUUUCCAAAGUCAUUCUAGGAGACCAGUAUCACCCUGAUACCAAAACCAGACAAAGACACAUCAAAAAAAGAAAACUGCUGGCCAAUUUCUCUGAUGAA
rnacentral:lncRNA from 1 species